rnacentral:rRNA from 1 species
UACGUAGGGUGCAAGCGUUGUCCGGAAUUAUUGGGCGUAAAGAGCUCGUAGGCGGUGUGUCGCGUCGGCCGUGAAAACCUGCAGCUUAACUGUGGGCUUGCGGUCGAUACGGGCAUCACUGGAGUUCGGCAGGGGAGACUGGAAUUCCUGGUGUAGCGGUGAAAUGCGCAGAUAAUCAGGAGGAACACCGGUGGCGAAGGCGGGUCUCUGGGCCGAUACUGACGCUGAGGAGCGAAAGCGUGGGGAGCGAACAGG